rnacentral:rRNA from 1 species
AUGGUAGCUUGCUACCAGGCGUCGAGCGGCGGACGGGUGAGUAAUACUUAGGAAUCUACCUAGUAGUGGGGGAUAGCACGGGGAAACUCGUAUUAAUACCGCAUACGACCUACGGGAGAAAGGGGGCAGUUUACUGCUCUCGCUAUUAGAUGAGCCUAAGUCGGAUUAGCUAGAUGGUGGGGUAAAGGCCUACCAUGGCGACGAUCUGUAGCUGGUCUGAGAGGAUGAUCAGCCACACCGGGACUGAGACACGGCCCGGACUCCUACGGGAGGCAGCAGUGGGGAAUAUUGGACAAUGGGGGAAACCCUGAUCCAGCCAUGCCGCGUGUGUGAAGAAGGCCUUUUGGUUGUAAAGCACUUUAAGCAGUGAAGAAGACUCUUCGGUUAAUACCCGGAGACGAUGACAUUAGCUGCAGAAUAAGCACCGGCUAACUCUGUGCCAGCAGCCGCGGUAAUACAGAGGGUGCAAGCGUUAAUCGGAAUUACUGGGCGUAAAGCGAGCGUAGGUGGCUUGAUAAGUCAGAUGUGAAAUCCCCGGGCUUAACCUGGGAACUGCAUCUGAAACUGUUAGGCUAGAGUAGGUGAGAGGGAAGUAGAAUUUCAGGUGUAGCGGUGAAAUGCGUAGAGAUCUGAAGGAAUACCGAUGGCGAAGGCAGCUUCCUGGCAUCAUACUGACACUGAGGCUCGAAAGCGUGGGUAGCAAACAGGAUUAGAUACCCUGGUAGUCCACGCCGUAAACGAUGUCUACUAGUCGUUGGGUCCCUUGAGGACUUAGUGACGCAGCUAACGCAAUAAGUAGACCGCCUGGGGAGUACGGCCGCAAGGUUAAAACUCAAAUGAAUUGACGGGGGCCCGCACAAGCGGUGGAGCAUGUGGUUUAAUUCGAUGCAACGCGAAGAACCUUACCUGGUCUUGACAUAUCUAGAAUCCUGCAGAGAUGCGGGAGUGCCUUCGGGAAUUAGAAUACAGGUGCUGCAUGGCUGUCGUCAGCUCGUGUCGUGAGAUG